UGCUUUUUCCCAUGGUUUCAGAAUUUUAAUCAAUUAUAUAUUAACUAGUACUGGCCAAGUGGAAACAGCUCUUUUUAUUUUUUUCCACAGGAGACUUUUAACAGUGCUAAGUGCUGAAGUCCAUUGAAGCCUCCAAAGGGAAGUGGCUUUGUCACACUGAGAAGUCAAGAACUGCACUGAUACCCAGAUGCUGAAACUUCUAUCCUCCUGGUACUUUGGAAAGAAAAAGAGAUGCAUGAUCCUAC
rnacentral:lncRNA from 1 species